CUUGAGAUGCAAGAAUUUUUAUGGUGUUGGAAGAAUUAUGCACUAUACUGCAUUCCCACGCCACCAAGCUGAAUACCAUCCUCAGACACCACAGUGUGCAGGAACAAGAUCAAGCAGUACCUGAGGGUAUUCACUUCCCAGUGAAGAAAAUCCAAGAUAUGGAUGCCCUUGAAACCAAACUGAUGGAUCCUGACCUAGAGAAAAAAGUUAUUGUCAGUCUGUGUGUAAUAGGUGGAUCAGGCCUGCCAGCACAGUGAGACGCAUUCUGCGACACACAGUGUCCAACUCCCUGGCCAUCCACUUCAUUUGGUGUGGCAAAGGAAUGAAACGGAGCUUUUGCACAGUGAAGUUGAAGGAUACUAUAAUUAAAAGUGUCUGCAAGAAUGCAGAGCACAAGAGUGCAACCGCUGCCUCAGUUGAAAAAGUAAUGAAGGAGUGGUUUCGAACAGCCAGGGAUCGAGAUGGAGGCCGUCGGAGGAGAGAUGUAAGAAGUUGUUAGAGCAGUGAUACUGCUUAGACUUGCUGGCAUUGCAUAUUUUAAAGUUUCUCUCUCUCUCUCUCUCUCUCUCUCUCUCUCUCUCUCUCUCUCUCUCUCUCUCUCUCUCUCUCUCU